CCUACGGUGGGCUGUAGUGGGGAAUAUUGGACAAUGGGCGAAAGCCUGAUCCAGCCAUGCCGCGUGUGUGAAGAAGGCCUUCGGGUUGUAAAGCACUUUCAGUGGGGAAGAAAGCCUUGGGGCUAAUACCCUCGAGGAAGGACAUCACCCACAGAAGAAGCACCGGCUAACUCCGUGCCAGCAGCCGCGGUAAUACGGAGGGUGCGAGCGUUAAUCGGAAUUACUGGGCGUAAAGCGCGCGUAGGCGGUCUGAUAAGCCGGUUGUGAAAGCCCCGGGCUCAACCUGGGAACGGCAUCCGGAACUGUCAGGCUAGAGUGCAGGAGAGGAAGGUAGAAUUCCCGGUGUAGCGGUGAAAUGCGUAGAGAUCGGGAGGAAUACCAGUGGCGAAGGCGGCCUUCUGGACUGACACUGACGCUGAGGUGCGAAAGCGUGGGUAGCAAACAGGAUUAGAUACCCUUGUAGUC
rnacentral:rRNA from 1 species